AGUGGACACUGUGGGCAUGCGUGUCCGUGCAGCACAUCGCCAUGCAGGAGCCUGGGGGAAGGCCUUUCCCUCAGUGAGGGCUGCAGCUUCCCCACAGGCAACGUGAGGAGAGCCUGUGCCCAGAAGCAGGAUGAGAAGAUGGCAAACUUCCUAUUACCUCGGGGCACCAGCAGCUUCCGCAGGUUCACACGGGAGUCCCUGGCAGCCAUCGAGAAGCGCAUGGCAGAGAAGCAAGCCCGCGGCUCAACCACCUUGCAGGAGAGCCGAGAGGGGCUGCCCGAGGAGGAGGCUCCCCGGCCCCAGCUGGACCUGCAGGCCUCCAAAAAGCUGCCAGA
rnacentral:lncRNA from 1 species